rnacentral:rRNA from 1 species
CAAUAGCGUAUACUAACGUUGUUGCGGUUAAAAAGCUCGUAGUUGGAUUUCUGAAGGUGGUUGGAUUGGUGUGACCUCGCGUUGCCUCAACCAUACUAUUUUCAACAUAUGCGAUGAAUUGGUGUGGUUAAUUAAGUUUGAUCCGCCAUUAAAUCGCUCGUUUACUUUGAGAAAAUUAGAGUGUUCAAAGCAGGCAUAACGCCUUGAAUAUGUUAGCAUGGAAUAAUAGCAUAGGACUUUGGUUCUAUUUGUUGGUUGUUCGAGAACCGGAGUAAUGAUUGAUAGGGACGGUUGGGGGCAUCUGUAUUCUCAAGCAAGAGGUGAAAUUCUUGGACCUUGGGAAGACGAACAGCUGCGAAAGCGUUUGCCUAGGACGUUCUCUUUAA